rnacentral:rRNA from 1 species
UACGUAGGGCGCGAGCGUUAUCCGGAAUUAUUGGGCGUAAAGAGCUCGUAGGCGGUUUGUCGCGUCUGCCGUGAAAGCCCGGGGCUCAACUCCGGAUCUGCGGUGGGUACGGGCAGACUAGAGUGAUGUAGGGGAGACUGGAAUUCCUGGUGUAGCGGUGAAAUGCGCAGAUAUCAGGAGGAACACCGAUGGCGAAGGCAGGUCUCUGGGCAUUAACUGACGCUGAGGAGCGAAAGCGUGGGGAGCGAACAGG